UACGUAGGUGGCAAGCGUUAUCCGGAUUUAUUGGGCGUAAAGGGAACGCAGGCGGUCUUUUAAGUCUGAUGUGAAGGCCUUCGGCUUAACCGGAGUAGUGCAUUGGAAACUGGGAGACUUGAGUGCAGAAGAGGAGAGUGGAACUCCAUGUGUAGCGGUGAAAUGCGUAGAUAUAUGGAAGAACACCAGUGGCGAAAGCGGCUCUCUGGUCUGUAACUGACGCUGAGGGUCGAAAGCGUGGGUAGCAAACAGG
rnacentral:rRNA from 1 species